rnacentral:tRNA from 1 species
AGGGAAGAAGCUACAAUUAGCAAUUAGUUGUUACCUAAUAGAAAGUGACGUUAUUCACCUUCCCUA